rnacentral:rRNA from 1 species
UACAUACUGUGCGAACGUUAUUCGGAUUCACUGGGCUUAAAGGGUGCGUAGGCGGCUUGUUAAGUAGGGUGUGAAAGCCCCCAGCUCAACUGGGGAACUGCACUCUAUACUGGCGAGCUAGAGUGAGAUAGGGGUGUGUGGAACUGCCAGUGGAGCGGUGAAAUGUGUUGAUAUUGGCAGGAACGCCGGUGGCGAAAGCGACACACUGGGUCUCAACUGACGCUGAGGCACGAAAGCCAGGGGAGCGAAC